rnacentral:rRNA from 1 species
AUGCUCGAGGGAAGAGGCCGCCGCGCGCCCGAGGGAAGAAACCGCCGCGCGCCUGCGCUGAGCAGUCGACGGUGGAGUGAGCCGCCGCCGCGCGCCAUGCUCGCCGCCUGCCCGUCCGCCAUGCUCGCCGCCCGCGCGGCCUCCCUGCUCCCCGCCCGCGCGCCUGCCUUCUCACCGCACGCGCUGCCUCCCUGCUCCCAGCCCGCGCGGCCUCCCUGGCUCCCCGCCCACGCGGCCUCCCUGGCUCCCUGCUCACAGCCCGCCGGCCAUGCAUGUGUGUUUUGCGUUUCGUGGUGUGAGUUGUUCUGUGGUGUGCAUUGGUGGGUGUAG